GGGGAAGUGGGGUGGCCAGUUUGGAACAUGGUGAAGAAAUGUCCUGCUGAAAACUGCUGCAGAGACAAGCCCCUCCCCUCCUGCUGCUUCACUGCACUUCUGUAAGGAGUUGUCAUCAUUUAUAACCAACCUCUAGUCAGGAGGAUGUUCAGCUGGCCUUUGGACAACACAAGGAGUCUGAACUGCUCAGGUCCACUGAUACACAGCUCUUUUUUCAAAAGUAAAUGCUACAGUACUACACGAUCUACGUUGGUUGAAUCGGAUGUGGAACUGUGGAUAAGGAGGAGCCAUGGCUACCGAGGGAUGACCAAGAGCAGAAGUGCAGGAGUUCCGUUUCACCUGAGAUGCAAUCUGGACCCACCCACGGGGAAGCAGAGGGAACACCAUCUUGCCCCACAGCCAGGGA